rnacentral:rRNA from 1 species
GACGAACGCUGGCGGCGUGCUUAACACAUGCAAGUCGAACGGAAAGGCCCUGCUUUUGUGGGGUGCUCGAGUGGCGAACGGGUGAGUAACACGUGAGUAACCUGCCCUUGACUUUGGGAUAACUUCAGGAAACUGGGGCUAAUACCGGAUAGGAGCUCCUGCUGCAUGGUGGGGGUUGGAAAGUUUCGGCGGUUGGGGAUGGACUCGCGGCUUAUCAGCUUGUUGGUGGGGUAGUGGCUUACCAAGGCUUUGACGGGUAGCCGGCCUGGGAGGGUGACCGGCCACAUUGGGACUGAGAUACGGCCCAGACUCCUACGGGAGGCAGCAGUGGGGAAUAUUGCACAAUGGGCGGAAGCCUGAUGCAGCAACGCCGCGUGCGGGAUGACGGCCUUCGGGUUGUAAACCGCUUUCGCCUAUGACGAAGCGUGAGUGACGGUAAUGGGUAAAGAAGCACCGGCUAACUACGUG